GCGGGUGUAGUUUAAUGGUAAAACUCCAGCCUUCCAAGCUGAUGUCGAGGGUUCGAUUCCCUUCACCCGCUCCA
rnacentral:tRNA from 4 species